rnacentral:rRNA from 1 species
AGUCGAGCGAAUGACGAGAAGCUUGCUUCUCUGAUUUAGCGGCGGACGGGUGAGUAACACGUGGGCAACCUGCCCUACAGAUUGGGAUAACUCAGGGAAACCUGGGCUAAUACCGAAUAAUCCUUCGAAUCACAUGUUUUGAAGUUGAAAGGCGCUUCGGCGUCACUGUAGGAUGGGCCCGCGGUGCAUUAGCUAGUUGGUGGGGUAACGGCCUACCAAGGCAACGAUGCAUAGCCGACCUGAGAGGGUGAUCGGCCACAUUGGGACUGAGACACGGCCCAAACUCCUACGGGAGGCAGCAGUAGGGAAUCUUCCACAAUGGACGAAAGUCUGAUGGAGCAACGCCGCGUGAGUGAUGAAGGUUUUCGGAUCGUAAAACUCUGUUGUAAGGGAAGAACAAGUACGUUAGGAAAUGAACGUACCUUGACGGUACCUUAUUAGAAAGCCACGGCUAACUACGUGCCAGCAGCCGCGGUAAUACGUAGGUGGCAAGCGUUGUCCGGAUUUAUUGGGCGUAAAGCGCGCGCAGGUGGUUUCUUAAGUCUGAUGUGAAAGCCCACGGCUCAACCGUGGAGGGUCAUUGGAAACUGGGGAACUUGAGUGCAGAAGAGGAUAGUGGAAUUCCAAGUGUAGCGGUGAAAUGCGUAGAGAUUUGGAGGAACACCAGUGGCGAAGGCGACUGUCUGGUCUGUAACUGACACUGAGGCGCGAAAGCGUGGGGAGCAAACAGGAUUAUAUACCCUGGUAGUCCACGCCGUAAACGAUGAGUGCUAAGUGUUAGGGGGUUUCCGCCCCUUAGU